rnacentral:rRNA from 1 species
GACGAACGCUGGCGGCGUGCUUAACACAUGCAGGUCGAACGGAAAGGCCCUGCUUUUGUGGGGUGCUCGAGUGGCGAACGGGUGAGUAACACGUGAGUAACCUGCCCUUGACUUUGGGAUAACUUCAGGAAACUAGGGCUAAUACCGGAUAGGAGCUCCUGCUGCAUGGUGGGGGUUGGAAAGUUUCGGCGGUUGGGGAUGGACUCGCGGCUUAUCAGCUUGUUGGUGGGGUAGUGGCUUACCAAGGCUUUGACGGGUAGCCGGCCUGAGAGGGUGACCGGCCACAUUGGGACUGAGAUACGGCCCAGACUCCUACGGGAGGCAGCGGUGGGGAAUAUUGCACAAUGGGCGGAAGCCUGAUGCAGCAACGCCGCGUGCGGGAUGACGGCCUUCGGGUUGUAAACCGCUUUCGCCUGUGACGAAGCGUGAGUGACGGUAAUGGGUAAAGAAGCACCGGCUAACUACGUG